rnacentral:rRNA from 1 species
AUUGAACGCUGGCGGCAUGCUUUACACAUGCAAGUCGAACGGUAACAGGCCUUCGGGUGCUGACGAGUGGCGAACGGGUGAGUAAUGCAUCGGAACGUGCCCAGAGGUGGGGGAUAACGCAGCGAAAGCUGUGCUAAUACCGCAUGUGAUCGGAGGAUGAAAGCGGGGGACCAGGCAGCAAGGUUUGGCCUCGCGCCUUGGGAGCGGCCGAUGUCAGAUUAGGUAGUUGGUGGGGUAAAGGCCUACCAAGCCGACGAUCUGUAGCUGGUCUGAGAGGACGACCAGCCACACUGGGACUGAGACACGGCCCAGACUCCUACGGGAGGCAGCAGUGGGGAAUUUUGGACAAUGGGCGCAAGCCUGAUCCAGCAAUGCCGCGUGCGGGAAGAAGGCCUUCGGGUUGUAAACCGCUUUUGUACGGAACGAAAAGGCUCUGGCUAAUACCUGGGGCUGAUGACGGUACCGUAAGAAUAAGCACCGGCUAACUACGUG